GACAGAGGUGCCAAGCGUUAGGCGGAAUCACUGGGCUUAAAGCGUGUGUAGGCGGAUCGUUAAGUACCUUGUGAAAAUCCCACGGCUCAACCGUGGAAACUGCUGGGUAUACUGGCGAUCUUGAGCCACCUAGGGGCGAGCGGAACAAGCGGUGGAGCGGUGAAAUGCGUAGAUAUCGCUUGGAACGCCAAUGGUGAAAACAGCUCGCUGGGGGGUGUGCUGACGCUGAGACACGAAAGCCAGGGGAGCAAAACGGG
rnacentral:rRNA from 1 species